AACGAACGCUGGCGGCAGGCUUAACACAUGCAAGUCGAGCGCCCCGCAAGGGGAGCGGCAGACGGGUGAGUAACGCGUGGGAACGUACCCUUUGCUACGGAAUAGCUCCGGGAAACUGGAAUUAAUACCGUAUGUGCCCUACGGGGGAAAGAUUUAUCGGCAAAGGAUCGGCCCGCGUUGGAUUAGCUAGUUGGUGGGGUAAUGGCCUACCAAGGCGACGAUCCAUAGCUGGUCUGAGAGGAUGAUCAGCCACAUUGGGACUGAGACACGGCCCAAACUCCUACGGGAGGCAGCAGUGGGGAAUAUUGGACAAUGGGCGCAAGCCUGAUCCAGCCAUGCCGCGUGAGUGAUGAAGGCCUUAGGGUUGUAAAGCUCUUUCGCCAGGGACGAUAAUGACGGUACCUGGAUAAGAAGCCCCGGCUAACUUCGUGCCAGCCGCCGCUGUAAUAC
rnacentral:rRNA from 1 species